GCCAACAUAAAUACUGCAAUUGACAAGCCAACAAAAUAUACAUAGAGGGCCUACAAGCCCAACAUACUGCAAUAACUGACAGGAUAUGUCUACAAGCCUCUACUGAUGGACAUACUGUGAUGGGCAUACUGUGAUCGGAACAGGGCCCCGACCUACCCAUAACCUAUCUACAUAUAGAUGUAUACAAAACUCUAGACUUGAAAACUCCGAAGUACGUGGAGCUUACCGAUAAAGCUGAACUCGGGCAACACCUACUAAGGAGGUCUACCCGUCUGUCUAUCUGAACCUGAACGCAUGAAUGUAGCAUCCCCAGAAAAGGGACGUCAGCACAAAAUAAUGUACCGAGUAUGCAAGGCAAUAAUAUAACUGAAAGUUGAAAUUGAACUAAUAAUAUAAUAGCUGGAAGUAACUAGAAGUCAAAGAUAAUCUAAAGAUAUGCUCACCUAUUGAUACUGACUCAACUCUCUCAAUAUAGUAAGUAAAAUAGUUGUCCGGUCUUAUAAGGCUCGGUAUAUAUAUAACUGCUCUUCCGUAGUAGGUUCGCUCAUAGGCGCUCGGCCAUACUAGGCUCUGUAUCUCGGCUAUGCUGGGCUCGCUCAUAGGCGCUCAGCCAUAAUAGGCUCGGUAUAUAACUUACCAUCUGAUCAGAGAUUGCCCAAUAGGGGCUCGCCCAUCGACUAUAGCUCGAUGGUAAUGAAAAUAAUGUAAUAUUGUAUAUAUAAACUUUCUGCUCUCUUGACUGGAAGAAGGAAAUACUCAAUUGAAUAUGAAGUCCCGAUAAGGAGAAUACUGUAACUUACGAGACUAGAAAAAUAUACGUAAAUUCCAGGAUAUGAAUUUUUCUUUAUGCCUAGUUAUCAAACUCGUGUAGUUACGAGAUCAUGAAAAAUGGAGGAAGAGCUUAGCCUUAACAUACCUGGAGUAGAAAAAUAUCCGUAUGAUGUUCUUGGAAAUGGUUGCACUAUACUCCUUUAGAACCGCAAAAUUUUACGUUGCUAAUAAUUCUCGUUGGAUUUCUUUUGGUUGCAAGAAUUCACAUUUUUUUGUGGGAAAUUGGUAAGAAAUCACGUUGAACUCUCACGUCUGAUUGUAAUGUUUUGUUGGCAUUAAAUUAUUAGUGUUUGAGAAUGAAAUAUAGUUUGUAUCUAAAAUCUUAGAAUAAGGUGUCUUGAAAUCACUAUAAUAGGUUGCCACCUAAUCAAAAAUGACCAUGAGUCAUUUGUUUGAUUAUGGUCUUGCUGCCACGUGGGGGUGGGGGAGAAAUUUUUAAUCUUUAUCAAACUUAUUAGUUAAUUAGGUAAUGUCCCGUUAUCCGGUAAUUAAUUAAUUACCCGCAUAAUUAAGAAUUAUCUCAAAUUAUUUAAAAUUCUACUCAUUUUUAAUAUACUUUAUACAUCAUACUAUUAUGGUCAUACCUUGUAUAGUACUAGUCCAUAAAUAUUGCUCGGACCGUAUUUUAUCCCAAAUCGACAAUCUUCAACGAAACUCAUUUUAUUCUAUUUUCUUACCUUCUCUCCUUCACGAAUUUACCCAUCAUGUGUUUGAAAUAGCAUAAUGCUUAUAAUCUCAAGAAAAUCUCAUCCCAGAGUCUACGUCAAUUAACUGAAGACGAAACUUCAACAUACGAGAAACGCGAGAUGUAACAUUACCGGUGGAAAGUUUGGAUCCAGACUUAGCUUGUGAACCACUAUCUCCAAUGGGAUACCUAUCAUAUCUGAGUGCGACCACGUAAGUCAACAUUAUCUUUAAGAAAAUUUAUAAAUUCUAACUUGAGAUCGGGAUUUAAUCGUGUUCCCAGAUGAAACUUCAUUUCCAAAAACUCUUUGAACAAGGCCACUUGCUCGAGUUCUUCUAUGGUCGACUUGAUCGAAUCUGUCUCCUCUGUUAUCUGAAAAUAUCUCGGAACCUGGUAGGAUUUCGCUGACUCCUCGCCUUUAUCAUCUUCAUUCUGAAAGGGAGAAGGCAUCGGUACCUAUGAUUGCUAUUUGUUGGACUCUUUACCCUUGCUGCUGGAAAUAGUCACUGCUUUCAUCUCCCUCACCUCUGGCUGGUCUCCUCUUAAUUGCUUGAUUCCCUCCGGCAUCAGAAAUUUCAAAAACUAGUGAUAUGUUGAGGGUACAACCUUCAUCUCAUAUCCACAACCUUCUAAGGAUUAUAUUGUAACCCAUAUCGCCAUCUACCACUUUGAAUAGUGGUCUUCGUUAAUCCUUACACAUAUGUGGGCAGCAAAAUCUCUCCUCGGGUUGCUACGCUUGUCACACCUCCUUUUUACCACCCGAGGGGUAAUAUAAGGGAGUUUUUCCAAUUAAAGUGACAUUAUUCGAAAUGAGAUUAUUUUAUUUAAUUUCUUCAGAGUCGCCACUUGGAAUUGUUUAUUUGGUGUCCCAAGUCACUGGUUUAUUUUAAAAUCCCAAUUCGAGAAAAUUUGACUUUAUUUAAAAGUCUGCAAACCGAAAAUUCUAGAUAAGGAAUUCUGUUAACCCGGGAGAAGGUGUUAGGCAUUCCCGGGUUUCGUGGUUCUAGCACAGUCGCUUAAACUAUUAAUAAUUGGCCUAUUAUUUGAUUUACUACACGUUUUAAACCUAUUGUGCAUUUUAAACUUUAUAACCGCUUUUAACUAUUUUAAACCCUUUUUAGGUUUUAUGAAAUUAUUUCUUGAACAAGUUACGAUUGUCGUACACUUGCCGUUUUGGAAUACGCCGCAAAUCACGCUACAUAAAAUGCCCCCGCAAUUUGCAACAUGUUUAUUUUAUUAAAGUUCAAAGUUGUUAUGGUCGGGUCACAUGAAAUGCACACCCGAAUUUUGGAAUUAGACAUUGUAACUAUGUCACGGGAACCGUACCCAUAGUUACAAUGGUUUAAUCGCGCCUAAAAUAAACUACGAUGUUCAUAAAUUAUUUAUUUUUAUGUGUGAGAUUAUUGCAAAGUCAUGGAUUAUAGAAAUUGUUAUGGGUAAAGUGUGGUAAAUUAAUUAUGGAAGGUGGGCUGGCAGAACUCUUUGGCCCAAAUCCAAUAUCCUCAACACCCCAAAGCUCACUUUGUAUAUGAUCACAAAUUAUUUGUUUAAACAAAUUGCUGCCUUCCUUCCUUUUACAACAAUGAACACUCCAAAAUCCCUAUAGGCAUCGUCACACAACCAUUACGCUACUCAAUGACUAAUGAACCACUAAUCAAUUAAUCCAACUGAUUAUAUGAGCUCAAUUUCCACGCGUAUGAUAUCACGAGAAGAAUGAACGAAUAUAACAAAUUCGUUUAUCAAAGAAAUCUGAGUUAAAACAACAUUCUCAUUUUAAUCAAGUUACCAAGAAGUCAAUCUAAGCUAAUUCCAUGUCAGCACUCAGAAACAAGAAGCAAAGCAGAUAUUGCUAAAGUGUGACAGUAUUGCACAAAUGAUAAGGCAAGAGCAUGUCAGAAAUAUAAAUUUAGUUCAUGGAAUUGAAUAUGAGAUUAGUUAUAUGAGAAAAGCUAUCCAAACAUACACUUUAACAUGCUUUUCUGAACCUUCCUCUUUGCUCCCAUCCAUUUUAUCCAAUACUAAAUAACUCAUCAUUUAACUAUAUCAACAACUCUAAUAUCUAAAAAUUCAAGUAUUUCCUCUCUUUUGUGCAUCCUUAACUAACUAAACAAUGGCCUACUUCUUUAAACCAACAACGAACAACAAAAAGGGCAAGAACUAGGGAAAUGAAAUCUCCAGUAUUUCAUAUAACUCAUUCAAACCAAAAUGGGCAAAGUCGAGAAUUCCAAAACCAAUGAAGGUGGACAAUAAACAUGGCAUACUGAUACAACAAUUUCGAACUAAAUCUAAAACGCAGACAAACAAACAAUAAAACCAGGAAAAACGUGAUUUCAAACUAGAAAAAGAAACUUACGAUUACUAGCGGAAUUGAAUCAGUAGGAUAAGUAAAUGAUUAACUCAAUAUCACAAACAAAAAGAACUCACUUCACUGUUCCAACAUUCUUCAUAUCAAAUAAAAGAGCUUAAGUUUCUAACCAUUCUUUCAUAGAUAAGCUAAACAACAACCAAUAAUCCCAUUAAAAAAACAGAUCUGAGAACAAUUUUUAUGAAGAACAUACCUUGCCGCGCAAGGUUCAAAUUUAAAAGAGAAGAAAAGGCAAAUAAGGCUGGAAUUGACGAGUUUGAAGCUCGGCGACAGCAGAAUCAACAAAACCCAGCUUCCAUUUCUGAAAUUGAAAUCAACUAGAACCCCAGAAGUUAUAGAAGUAAUGCAACAGAAAUCGGACCAGAUUUAACAAUUCUUCGUAUUUCUUUCUCUCUUUUUUUACUUUUCUUUAUUUUUGAAGCUCUUGAAAUUUCCAGAUCUUAGUUUGAAUUUUUCAAAUCCAAUCUUAUUUCAGCCAUCUUCUAGUGUGUGUGUGAAGGUGAGAAAAAUGGGAGUGAGUGAAUACGGGUUCAGAGCAGGGGCGACAGCUUCAUGGGUGUAGGAGAAGGGUCUGUUCUUUGAGAGAAUUGGGGGUGAUGGCUUCUGGUUUUUCCUUUUUUUUGAGAAGAUGAGGGCGCCGUAUUUUCUUUUUUCCAAAGAGGGCGGGGGGGAGGGGGGGGGGUCUCAUUCGUUUCUGAAUGUCUUCUUGGGUCUAGAUAUCUUCAUCUAUCAAUAAGUAUCAAUAAGGGUAAAUUUGACUUGUUUGUUUUAGGCCUCUUGGGCAUUCGCCCAAUUCGAAAAUAAG
rnacentral:lncRNA from 1 species